ACACACACACACACACACACACACACAUAACCUUCACAUUUACACGCUAGAGAAACAAAUGCUGAUUCAAAUAAUCCGCUUACCAUCGCUCGUUAAUUACACGACAGGAAAAAGCAAAACAAAAAAGAAUAGGAAAAACAAAACAAAAAAUGCGUUCGUUCAGAUGCUUCGUUUGUUAUCGAAUUCGGUUUAUUUGUUGUUGUUUGUUGUUGGUGUGGUUUCCCCUCCCCUCUCUUUUUGUUGUGUUUAAUGUUUAAUUACCGCCGAGGGCUCGUUUUUUUACUACCUCAAAAGCCCAAAAUUGGGUUCAUAGUUUCAGGAUUCUUGUUUUCUUUUUGGUUUUUUUUUUUUUUUUCCUCAAUCUUUCCUUCUUCUUUUUUUUUUUCUUCUUCUCUCAUCUUGUCUCGAAUUAAUUAGCAGUUUUGUUGCACAGCGUAUCCCAAUUUUGGUUUCUUUUUCCUGAUGUUCUUCAUCUCUUCAUUCGCCAGUUAUCUGACUGCAGUGUAUGUUUAUUGGGUUUCACACAACGAUUUUUUUUUUCUUUCUCCCGUUCGUCCGUGUCUUCUUUUUAUGUUUGCGUUUUUGAUUUUUGUUCCCUGCCUUUGUUACCUUUUCUUUUUCUCUCCCCGCAACACUUAUUCGAAUUUCAUUUGUUGUUUGUGUUCAAGUAUUGUUCGCAUUUUGUAAUUCGGUUCAAAAAAUGAAUUUCGUUCAUCAUCCACAUCAUCAUCAUCCCUGAUGGAUAGCAUCGAGGUGCCAAAACGAGCAAAAAGAAAAAAAAGAAGCGUUAGCCUACAAAAUGGCGGCGUGUAUUGUCAGCAAUAGACUUCUCCAAUCUUUAUACCAUUUUGUUUAUUUUCAAUUUCUUUAUGGUUUUUCUUUAUUUUGAUUUUCUCAAUCGUGAAACUGAAAUAGAAAUAAUAUCAAAUUGA